rnacentral:rRNA from 1 species
UGGGGAAUAUUGGACAAUGGGCGCAAGCCUGAUCCAGCCAUGCCGCGUGAGUGAUGAAGGCCCCUAGGGUUGUAAAAGCUCUUUCGCCAGGGACGAUAAUGACGGUACCUGGAUAAGAAGCCCCGGCUAACUUCGUGCCAGCAGCCGCGGUAAUACGAAGGGGGCUAGCGUUGUUCGGAAUCACUGGGCGUAAAGCGCACGUAGGCGGAUCUUUAAGUCAGGGGUGAAAAUCCCCGAGGCUCAACCUCGGGAACUGCCCUUUGAUACUGGAGGUCUCGAGUCCGGGGAGAGGUGAGUGGAACUGCGAGUGUAGAGGUGAAAUUCGUAGAUAUUCGCAAGAACACCAGUGGCGAAGGCGGCUCACUGGCCCGGUACUGACGCUGAGGUGCGAAAGCGUGGGGAGCAAAACAGGAUUAGAUACCCUGGUAGUCCACGCCGUAAACUAUGGAUGCUAGCCGUUGGGCAGCUUGCUGUUCAGUGGCGCAGCUAACGCUUUAAGCAUCCCGCCUGGGGAGUACGGUCGCAAGAUUAAAACUCAAAUGAAUUGACGGGGUCAUAGCUGUUUCCU